UACGAAGGGGGCUAGCGUUGUUCGGAAUGACUGGGCGUAAAGCGCGCGUAGGCGGAUCAGAAAGUUGGGGGUGAAAUCCCGGGGCUCAACCUCGGAAUGGCCUUCAAAACUCCUGGUCUUGAGUUCGAGAGAGGUGAGUGGAAUUCCGAGUGUAGAGGUGAAAUUCGUAGAUAUUCGGAGGAACACCAGUGGCGAAGGCGGCUCACUGGCUCGACACUGACGCUGAGGUGCGAAAGCGUGGGGAGCAAACAGG
rnacentral:rRNA from 1 species